GAUGAACGCUGGCGGCGUGCCUAAUACAUGCAAGUCGAGCGAACGGACGAGAAGCUUGCUUCUCUGAUGUUAGCGGCGGACGGGUGAGUAACACGUGGAUAACCUACCUAUAAGACUGGGAUAACUUCGGGAAACCGGAGCUAAUACCGGAUAAUAUUUUGAGCCGCAUGGUUCAAAGGUGAAAGACGGUCUUGCUGUCACUUAUAGAUGGAUCCGCGCUGCAUUAGCUAGUUGGUAAGGUAACGGCUUACCAAGGCAACGAUGCAUAGCCGACCUGAGAGGGUGAUCGGCCACACUGGAACUGAGACACGGUCCAGACUCCUACGGGAGGCAGCAGUAGGGAAUCUUCCGCAAUGGGCGAAAGCCUGACGGAGCAACGCCGCGUGAGUGAUGAAGGUCUUCGGAUCGUAAAACUCUGUUAUUAGGGAAGAACAUAUGUGUAAGUAACUGUGCACAUCUUGACGGUACCUAAUCAGAAAGCCACGGCUAACUACGUG
rnacentral:rRNA from 1 species